GAGUAGCAAUACUCUCUGAUGGCGACCGGCGCAAGGGUGCGUAACGCGUGAGCAACUUGCCCUCAUCAGGGGAAUAAUCGCUGGAAACGGCGUCUAAUGCCCCAUGGUGAUGGAAUCAGGCAUCUGAUUUCAUCUAAAGAUCCGUCGGAUGAGGAUAGGCUCGCGUGACAUUAGCUAGACGGCGGGGUAACGGCCCACCGUGGCGACGAUGUCUAGGGGUUCUGAGAGGAAGGUCCCCCACACUGGAACUGAGACACGGUCCAGACUCCUACGGGAGGCAGCAGUGAGGAAUAUUGGUCAAUGGCCGGAAGGCUGAACCAGCCAUGCCGCGUGAAGGUCAGUGCCCUAUGGGCGUUAAACUUCUUUUGUGCGGGAGCAAUAAGGGCCACGCGUGGCCUGACGAGAGUACCGUACGAAUAAGCAUCGGCUAACUCCGUGCCAGCAGCCGCGGUAAUACGGGGGAUGCAAGCGUUAUCCGGAUUUAUUGGGUUUAAAGGGUGCGUAGGCUGUGAGGUAAGUCAGCGGUGAAAUGCCCCUGCUCAACGGGGUGAAGUGCCAUUGAUACUGCCUUGCUGGAAUGCGGAUGCCGUGGGAGGAAUGUGUGGUGUAGCGGUGAAAUGCAUAGAUAUCACACAGAACACCGAUUGCGAAGGCAUCUCACGAAUCCGCGAUUGACGCUGAUGCAC
rnacentral:rRNA from 1 species